rnacentral:rRNA from 1 species
GCUCAGAUUGAACGCUGGCGGCAUGCCUUACACAUGCAAGUCGAACGGUAACAGGUCUUCGGACGCUGACGAGUGGCGAACGGGUGAGUAAUACAUCGGAACGUGCCCAGUCGUGGGGGAUAACUACUCGAAAGAGUAGCUAAUACCGCAUACGAUCUGAGGAUGAAAGCGGGGGACCUUCGGGCCUCGCGCGAUUGGAGCGGCCGAUGGCAGAUUAGGUAGUUGGUGGGAUAAAAGCUUACCAAGCCGACGAUCUGUAGCUGGUCUGAGAGGACGACCAGCCACACUGGGACUGAGACACGGCCCAGACUCCUACGGGAGGCAGCAGUGGGGAAUUUUGGACAAUGGGCGAAAGCCUGAUCCAGCAAUGCCGCGUGCAGGAUGAAGGCCUUCGGGUUGUAAACUGCUUUUGUMCGGAACGAAAAAGCUCCUUCUAAUACAGGGGGCCCAUGACGGUACCGUAAGAAUAAGCACCGGCUAACUACGUGCCAGCAGCCGCGGUAAUACGUAGGGUGCGAGCGUUAAUCGGAAUUACUGGGCGUAAAGCGUGCGCAGGCGGUUAUGUAAGACAGAUGUGAAAUCCCCGGGCUCAACCUGGGAACUGCAUUUGUGACUGCAUGGCUAGAGUACGGUAGAGGGGGAUGGAAUUCCGCGUGUAGCAGUGAAAUGCGUAGAUAUGCGGAGGAACACCGAUGGCGAAGGCAAUCCCCUGGACCUGUACUGACGCU